GACAGAGGGUGCAAACGUUGUUCGGAUUUACUGGGCGUAAAGGGCGCGUAGGCGGUGUGUCAAGUCAGGCGUGAAAGCCCCGGGCUCAACCUGGGAACCGCGCUUGAGACUGGCACGCUAGAGUUCGGGAGAGGAUGGUGGAACUCCCAGUGUAGAGGUGAAAUUCGUAGAUAUUGGGAAGAACACCGAUGGCGAAGGCAGCCAUCUGGACCGACACUGACGCUGAGGCGCGAAAGCGUGGGGAGCAAACAGG
rnacentral:rRNA from 1 species